rnacentral:rRNA from 1 species
AACGAACGCUGGCGGCAGGCUUAACACAUGCAAGUCGAGCGCCCCGCAAGGGGAGCGGCAGACGGGUGAGUAACGCGUGGGAAUCUACCGUGCCCUAAGGAAUAGCUCCGGGAAACUGGAAUUAAUACCUUAUACGCCCUAUUGGGGAAAGAUUUAUCGGGGUAUGAUGAGCCCGCGUUGGAUUAGCUAGUUGGUGGGGUAAAGGCCUACCAAGGCGACGAUCCAUAGCUGGUCUGAGAGGAUGAUCAGCCACAUUGGGACUGAGACACGGCCCAAACUCCUACGGGAGGCAGAAGUGGGGAAUAUUGGACAAUGGGCGCAAGCCUGAUCCAGCCAUGCCGAGGGAGUGAUGAAGGCCCGAGGGUUGGAAAGCUCUUUCACCGGUGAAGAUAAUGACGGUAACCGGAGAAGAAGCCCCGGCUAACUUCGUGCCAGCCGCCGCCGUAACAC